UACAGAGGGGGCAAGCGUUAUUCGGAAUUAUUGGGCGUAAAGGGCGCGUAGGCGGCUUGGCAAGUGGAAGGUGAAAUCCCUCGGCUUAACCGAGGAACUGCCCUCCAAACUGCUUCGCUUGAGACCGGGAGAGGUGAGUGGAAUUCCCAGUGUAGCGGUGAAAUGCGUAGACAUUGGGAGGAACACCAGUGGCGAAGGCGGCUCACUGGACCGGUACUGACGCUGAUGCGCGAAAGCGUGGGGAGCAAACGGG
rnacentral:rRNA from 1 species